rnacentral:rRNA from 1 species
GAUGAACGCUGGCGGCGUGCCUAAUACAUGCAAGUCGAGCGAAUGGAUUAAGAGCUUGCUCUUAUGAAGUUAGCGGCGGACGGGUGAGUAACACGUGAGUAACCUGCCCAUAAGACUGGGAUUACUCCGGGAAACCGGGGCUAAUACCGGAUAACAUUUUGAACCGCAUGGUUCGAAAUUGAAAGGCGGCUUCGGCUGUCACUUAUGGAUGGACCCGCGUCGCAUUAGCUAGUUGGUGAGGUAACGGCUAACCAAGGCAACGAUGCGUAGCCGACCUGAGAGGGUGAUCGGCCACACUGGGACUGAGACACGGCCCAGACUCCUACGGGAGGCAGCAGUAGGAAUCUUCCGCAAUGGACGAAAGUCUGACGGAGCAACGCCGCGUGAGUGAUGAAGGCUUUCGGGUCGUAAAACUCUGUUGUUAGGGAAGAACAAGUGCUAGUUGAAUAAGCUGGCACCUUGACGGUACCUAACCAGAAAGCCACGGCUAACUACGUGCCAGCAGCCGCGGUAA